CUACGUGCCAGCAGCCGCGGUAAUACGUAGGUCCCGAGCGUUGUCCGGAUUUAUUGGGCGUAAAGCGAGCGCAGGCGGUUUGAUAAGUCUGAAGUUAAAGGCUGUGGCUCAACCAUAGUUCGCUUUGGAAACUGUCAAACUUGAGUGCAGAAGGGGAGAGUGGAAUUCCAUGUGUAGCGGUGAAAUGCGUAGAUAUAUGGAGGAACACCGGUGGCGAAAGCGGCUCUCUGGUCUGUAACUGACGCUGAGGCUCGAAAGCGUGGGGAGCGAACAGGAUUAGAUACCCUGGUAGUCCACGCCGUAAACGAUGAGUGCUAGGUGUUGGAUCCUUUCCGGGAUUCAGUGCCGCAGCUAACGCAUUAAGCACUCCGCCUGGGGAGUACGACCGCAAGGUUGAAACUCAAAGGAAUUGACGGGGGCCCGCACAAGCGGUGGAGCAUGUGGUUUAAUUCGAAGCAACGCGAAGAACCUUACCAGGUCUUGACAUCCCGAUGCUAUUUCUAGAGAUAGAAAGUUAC
rnacentral:rRNA from 1 species